rnacentral:ncRNA from 2 species
AGGAAGCCGGUGCGAAUCCGGCGCGGUCCCGCCACUGUGACCGGUGAGCGAGCCCCGGCAGGCCACCGCCCCCGAGCGGGGUGAAGAGGCCGGCCGGGACUCGCUCACCGGGAGCCAGGAGACU